UUAGUGGCGAACGGGUGAGUAAUAGUGAGUAACCUACCUUUAACUCUGGGAUAAGCCUGGGAAACUGGGUCUAAUACCGGAUACGACCAAUCUCCGCAUGGGGUGUUGGUGGAAAGCGUUAUGUAGUGGUUAUAGAUGGGCUCACGGCCUAUCAGCUUGUUGGUGAGGUAACGGCUCACCAAGGCGACGACGGGUAGCCGGCCUGAGAGGGUGACCGGCCACACUGGGACUGAGACACGGCCCAG
rnacentral:rRNA from 1 species